AUAAUCACUUUCAAAUUGUUUCACAAUCGCAUUUCCUCGAGUCACAAAAUAGAUGUAGAAUGAUGUACAUUCACUUUCACGACGAUUGAGCAUUGCAAUCGCAACUCCUACAUUCACAAUCACUGUCUCACCUAUUCCGUUCAGUUAACGGCGUUCAAUUUUUUAGGCUACUUUCAUUCUCUUGCUGAAUUCGUUCUCCUACACAAGUUUGAGGUAAGAUUUUUUUUUUUGAUUUUUAGGAUACUUUAUUUGCUGAAUUUGUUCUCUUGCUGUUUCCAAUUGUGUUCAUUGAAAAUAUGAACUGAAAUUUUGGGGUUAUUUGGCUUAAUUGGGGUUAUUUGGGUUAAGAGACUAAAUUGAUCAGACUAAGGAAACAAACCGAAUUUUUAAAAUAAUUUAAGUGACCAAAGAGGCAUUUAAGCCAAUUAGAAUCGAAAAGGAAAUUGAUAUCGAAGACGGCUAGAGUUCACAUUAUUAUUAUUUUUUUUUAUUCACCACCCGUUUAAUCUGGUUCGGGGGUCAG
rnacentral:lncRNA from 1 species